rnacentral:rRNA from 1 species
UACGGAGGAUGCGAGCGUUAUCCGGAUUUAUUGGGUUUAAAGGGUGCGUAGGCGGACUGUCAAGUCAGCGGUAAAAUUGAGAGGCUCAACCUCUUCCCGCCGUUGAAACUGGUGGUCUUGAGUGGAUGAGAAGUACGCGGAAUGCGUGGUGUAGCGGUGAAAUGCAUAGACAUCACGCAGAACUCCGAUUGCGAAGGCAGCGUACCGGCAUCCAACUGACGCUGAGGCACGAAAGCGUGGGGAGCAAACAGG